GAUCAUGGCUCAGGAUGAACGCUAGCUACAGGCUUAACACAUGCAAGUCGAGGGGAAACGACAUCGAAAGCUUGCUUUUGAUGGGCGUCGACCGGCGCACGGGUGAGUAACGCGUAUCCAACCUGCCCACCACUUUGGGGAUAACCUUGCGAAAGUAAGACUAAUACCCAAUGACAUCCCACGAAGACAUCUGAAUGGGAUUAAAGAUUUAUCGGUGAUGGAUGGGGAUGCGGUCUGAUUAG
rnacentral:rRNA from 1 species